rnacentral:rRNA from 1 species
GAUGAACGCUGGCGGCGUGCUUAACACAUGCAAGUCGAACGAGAAUCAACGGAUUGAGGAUUCGUCCAAAUGAAGUUGAGGAAAGUGGCGGACGGGUGAGUAACGCGUGAGGAACCUGCCUCGGAGUGGGGAAUAACAGUUGGAAACGAUUGAUAAUACCUCAUGACAUGUUUUUGCCGCAUGACGAAAACAUCAAAGAUUUAUCGCUGAGAGAUGGGCUCGCGUCCGAUUAGGUAGAUGGUGAGGCAACGGCUCACCAUGCCGACGAUCGGUAGCCGGACUGAGAGGUCGAUCGGCCACAUUGGGACUGAGACACGGCCCAG